CCUACGGGGUGCACCAGUGGGGAAUAUUGCACAAUGGGCGCAAGCCUGAUGCCGCCAUGCCGCGUGUAUGAAGAAGGCCUUAGGGUUGUAAAGUAGUUUCAGUUGGGAGGAAGGCGUUGAUGCUAAUAUCGUCAACGAUUGACGUUACCAACAGAAGAAGCACCGGCUAACUCCGUGCCAGCAGCCGCGGUAAUACGGAGGGUGCAAGCGUUAAUCAGAAUUACUGGGCGUAAAGCGCACGCAGGCGGUUGAUUAAGUUAGAUGUGAAAUCCCCGGGCUUAACCUGGGAAUGGCAUCUAAGACUGGUCAGCUAGAGUCUUGUAGAGGGGGGUAGAAUUCCAUGUGUAGCGGUGAAAUGCGUAGAGAUGUGGAGGAAUACCGGUGGCGAAGGCGGCCCCCUGGACAAAGACUGACGCUCAGGUGCGAAAGCGUGGGGAGCAAACAGGAUUAGAUACCUCGGUAGUC
rnacentral:rRNA from 1 species